UACGGGGGGAGCAAGCGUUGUUCGGAUUUACUGGGCGUAAAGGGCGCGUAGGCGGCCACCGCAAGUCAGUUGUGAAAUCUCUGGGCUUAACCCAGAAAGGUCAACUGAUACUGCGGGGCUAGAGUGCAGAAGGGGCAACUGGAAUUCUCGGUGUAGCGGUGAAAUGCGUAGAUAUCGGGAGGAACACCAAUGGCGAAGGCAGCUCGCUGGGACGGUACUGACGCUGAGACGCGAAAGCGUGGGGAGCAAACAGG
rnacentral:rRNA from 1 species